rnacentral:rRNA from 1 species
AUUGAACGCUGGCGGCAUGCUUUACACAUGCAAGUCGAACGGCAGCGCGUGCUUCGGCCUGUCGGCGAGUGGCGAACGGGUGAGUAAUGCAUCGGAACGUGCCCAGUAGUGGGGGAUAGCCCGGCGAAAGCCGGAUUAAUACCGCAUACGACCUGAGGGUGAAAGCGGGGGACCGAAAGGCCUCGCGCUAUUGGAGCGGCCGAUGUCGGAUUAGCUAGUUGGUGGGGUAAAGGCUUACCAAGGCGACGAUCCGUAGCUGGUCUGAGAGGACGACCAGCCACACUGGGACUGAGACACGGCCCAGACUCCUACGGGAGGCAGCAGUGGGGAAUUUUGGACAAUGGGGGCAACCCUGAUCCAGCCAUGCCGCGUGCGGGAAGAAGGCCUUCGGGUUGUAAACCGCUUUUGUUCGGGAAGAAAUCCUCUGGGCUAAUACCCCGGGGGGAUGACGGUACCGGAAGAAUAAGCACCGGCUAACUACGUG